CACGUAGGGGGCAAGCGUUGUCCGGAUUUAUUGGGCGUAAAGAGCUCGUAGGCUGUUCGAUAAGUCGGGUGUGAAACCUCCAGGCUCAACCUGGAGACGCCACCCGAUACUGUCAUGACUAGAGUCCGGUAGGGGAGCGUGGAAUUCCUGGUGUAGCGGUGAAAUGCGCAGAUAUCAGGAGGAACACCAGCGGCGAAGGCAGCUCGCUGGGACGGUACUGACGCUGAGACGCGAAAGCGUGGGGAGCGAACAGG
rnacentral:rRNA from 1 species